GCCAGGCAUGAUAGUGCAUGCCUUUAAUCCCUGCUAAUGCAAAGGCUGAGGCUGGUAGAUUAUUGGAGCUCAGGAGUUCCGAGCUUUAGGAGGGAUAAAGCCAUUCAGGUGUCUGGACUAAGUCCAACACUAGUAUGAUGAACCACCAGGCUGCCUAAGAAUGAGUGAACUGAAUCAGGUCAGAAAUAGAGCAGGUCAAAGCUCCCAUGCUGAUCGUCCAUGGGAUUGGGCCCCUGUGUGACAACUGCACUUGCAACCUGGGUGAGAUAAGAAGAACUAGCCUCA
rnacentral:SRP_RNA from 1 species